rnacentral:rRNA from 1 species
UUACCCUGGAACGGCCUACCCUGUAGCGGCUGCCGGUGGACUACCAAACUCUUGUUAUUUUAUUGUAAUCUGAGCGUCUUAUUUUAAUAAGUCAAAACUUUCAACAACGGAUCUCUUGGUUCUGGCAUCGAUGAAGAACGCAGCGAAAUGCGAUAAGUAAUGUGAAUUGCAGAAUUCAGUGAAU